GAUUAAGUUAUUAAGGGCGCACGGUGGAUGCCUUGGCACUAGAAGCCGAUGAAGGACGUUACUAACGACGAUAUGCUUUGGGGAGCUGUAAGUAAGCUUUGAUCCAGAGAUUUCCGAAUGGGGAAACCCAGCAUGAGUUAUGUCAUGUUAUCGAUAUGUGAAUACAUAGCAUAUCAGAAGGCACACCCGGAGAACUGAAACAUCUUAGUACCCGGAGGAAGAGAAAGAAAAUUCGAUUCCCUUAGUAGCGGCGAGCGAAACGGGAAGAGCCCAAACCAACAAGCUUGCUUGUUGGGGUUGUAGGACACUCUAUACGGAGUUACAAAGGACGACAUUAGACGAAUCAUCUGGAAAGAUGAAUCAAAGAAGGUAAUAAUCCUGUAGUCGAAAAUGUUGUCUCUCUUGAGUGGAUCCUGAGUACGACGGAGCACGUGAAAUUCCGUCGGAAUCUGGGAGGACCAUCUCCUAAGGCUAAAUACUCUCUAGUGACCGAUAGUGAACCAGUACCGUGAGGGAAAGGUGAAAAGCACCCCGGAAGGGGAGUGAAAUAGAACCUGAAACCGUGUGCUUACAAGUAGUCAGAGCCCGUUAAUGGGUGAUGGCGUGCCUUUUGUAGAAUGAACCGGCGAGUUACGAUUUGAUGCAAGGUUAAGCAGUAAAUGUGGAGCCGUAGCGAAAGCGAGUCUGAAUAGGGCGUUUAGUAUUUGGUCGUAGACCCGAAACCAGGUGAUCUACCCUUGGUCAGGUUGAAGUUCAGGUAACACUGAAUGGAGGACCGAACCGACUUACGUUGAAAAGUGAGCGGAUGAACUGAGGGUAGCGGAGAAAUUCCAAUCGAACCUGGAGAUAGCUGGUUCUCUCCGAAAUAGCUUUAGGGCUAGCCUCAAGUGAUGAUUAUUGGAGGUAGAGCACUGUUUGGACGAGGGGCCCCUCUCGGGUUACCGAAUUCAGACAAACUCCGAAUGCCAAUUAAUUUAACUUGGGAGUCAGAACAUGGGUGAUAAGGUCCGUGUUCGAAAGGGAAACAGCCCAGACCACCAGCUAAGGUCCCAAAAUAUAUGUUAAGUGGAAAAGGAUGUGGCGUUGCCCAGACAACUAGGAUGUUGGCUUAGAAGCAGCCAUCAUUUAAAGAGUGCGUAAUAGCUCACUAGUCGAGUGACACUGCGCCGAAAAUGUACCGGGGCUAAACAUAUUACCGAAGCUGUGGAUUGUCCUUUGGACAAUGGUAGGAGAGCGUUCUAAGGGCGUUGAAGCAUGAUCGUAAGGACAUGUGGAGCGCUUAGAAGUGAGAAUGCCGGUGUGAGUAGCGAAAGACGGGUGAGAAUCCCGUCCACCGAUUGACUAAGGUUUCCAGAGGAAGGCUCGUCCGCUCUGGGUUAGUCGGGUCCUAAGCUGAGGCCGACAGGCGUAGGCGAUGGAUAACAGGUUGAUAUUCCUGUACCACCUAUAAUCGUUUUAAUCGAUGGGGGGACGCAGUAGGAUAGGCGAAGCGUGCGAUUGGAUUGCACGUCUAA
rnacentral:rRNA from 1 species